rnacentral:rRNA from 1 species
GGACUACUGGGGUAUCUAAUCCUGUUUGCUCCCCGCACUUUCGCGCCUCAGCGUCAGUCAUUGGCUAGAAGUUCGCCUUCGCCACCGGUGUUCUUCCUGAUAUCUACAGAUUUCACCCCUACACCAGGAAUUCCAACUCCCCCUCCAUGACUCCAGUUCCACAGUUUCCAACGCAGUCCCGGAGUUAAGCCCCAGGAUUUCACGCCAGACUUAUUUAACCGCCUACGCGCCCUUUACGCCCAAUAAUUCCGAACAACGCUCGCCCCUUACGUGUUACCGCGGCUGCUGGCAC